rnacentral:rRNA from 1 species
CAGUAGCCGCGGGAAUACGGAGGGGGCUAGCGUUGUUCGGAAUUACUGGGCGUAAAGCGCGCGUAGGCGGCUUGGUAAGUUAGAGGUGAAAGCCCGGAGCUCAACUCCGGAAUUGCCUUUAAGACUGCCGAGCUAGUAGGUGAGAGAGGUAAGUGGAAUUCCGAGUGUAGAGGUGAAAUUCGUAGAUAUUCGGAAGAACACCAGUGGCGAAGGCGGCUUACUGGCUCAUUCUAGACGCUGAGGUGCGAAAGCGUGGGGAGCAAACAGGAUUAGAUACCCCUGUAGUCCCUGUCUCUUAUAC